CAGAGGUUUUGGUUUUAUUGCAGAGCACAAACUCGGCUUCGUUUCCUUCCUGCUCAUCUUUCAACCCUCCUCAGGUUCUCCUUCCCCAGCCAGCUUUGCUGCGAGCCUCCCCUUCCAAUCCAUCACAAUUCCCGGGUUUAGCAAUGGGAUGUGAGACAGAUCCAGGCAGGAAAACCCCUGGAACAGAAGAACAUUCUCAGCGUCUCUGCAGCUGGGGCUGGGGGAAGCACAGAGGGUGGAAAUUUCCCAGCACGAGAGAAAAAAAAAAGAAGAAGAAAAAGAAAGAAAUUUCAAUUUCCCUGCUAUAAAACCCAGUGGGAAAAGCAAAAAGCAGCAGCACACAGGGUGGUGAGAGGGGCUGGGGACUCGGAGCAGCUCAUUCAUGCCAGGGGAUCCCAGCCAGCACCUGCACAUCGUUCAUCUUCCUUUAUUGUCCUUUUAAUGCAGAGCCGGACACCCCUUUGCAAAGAGACAUUUUCCAGGCCUUCCUGAGGCUUGGGAACGCUGCUGGCCCUGUUUCCCGGCCAGACAAACGGGCCAGGAGAGGGAUUUGGGAGCAGGGAGGGGAUUGAAGUGUUUUCCCCAUCAGAACCUCCCUCGGGCUGUCCCAGGAAAAGCCUUUGUGAUCCAGACCCAGAUUUUCUGGAAUUGCACCUUGGCACUGCCCAGCCCCGAGGAAGCACUGGAGUUUGGUCUGAAAAUCAGGAUUUUCUCCCACUUGCAGGGUAUUUUUGUCCUCACAGCCUUCACCCUGAGCUGUGGGGAGGCAGUGCUGGGACUCCUGGUCCCCAAAUCCCCUUCCCAGUGGGGCCAUGCUGGGAUCCAGCGCCCAGCACAGGGGCAGAGCCCCAUGGAGUGCAGGACUGGCUCAUCCCAGAGGCUGGAAGGGCUGGAUUGGGGAUAAUCCUGUCCCCAGCCCUGGGAGGGGGCAGCAGGUGUGCAGUGACACGUUUGGGGCUAAUCCCUUGUCCUUAUUUUCUCCUCAGCAUGGGAAAGCAAAUCGCUGCUUUUAAUCCCAUUUCCAGCUCCUGCUCCAGGGGGGAGCAGCCCCAGCUCGGAGAGCCCCCGGCUCUGAAUGACCCCUGAAUGAGGAGCCUCUCAAUUAAAAGUUUCCCAUUGACGCCGCCUCAAUGAGAACGCGCUGGGGAAUUCUCCGCGCCUCAAUGGCCCCGGCCCUCGGCGAGUGUUGAGGGGCCGAUGGACUUCCCACAAUGUUUGUACACCUUCCUUUGUGGGGAUUUUUCCCUCCGCUGAGCCAGAAACCUUUAACACAUCCGCUCCCGGCGUGCCGCUCGUUGGGGACAGCGGGGACAGCGGUG
rnacentral:lncRNA from 1 species